rnacentral:rRNA from 1 species
UACGGAGGGUGCAAACGUUGCUCGGAAUUAUUGGGCGUAAAGCGCACGUAGGCGGCCGAUUAAGUCGGGUGUGAAAGCCCAGGGCUCAACCCUGGAAGUGCACUCGAAACUGGACGGCUUGAAUAUGGAAGAGGGUUGCGGAAUUCCCGGUGUAGAGGUGAAAUGCGUAGAGAUCCGGAGGAACACCAGUGGCGAAGGCGACACGCUGGGCCGUACCUGACACUGAUGCGCGACAGCAUGGGGAGCAAACAGG